rnacentral:rRNA from 1 species
UGAACGCUGGCGGCAGGCCUAACACAUGCAAGUCGAGCGGAUGAAGGGAGCUUGCUCCUGGAUUCAGCGGCGGACGGGUGAGUAAUGCCUAGGAAUCUGCCUGGUAGUGGGGGAUAACGUCCGGAAACGGGCGCUAAUACCGCAUACGUCCUGGGGAGAAAGUGGGGGAUCUUCGGACCUCACGCUAUCAGAUGAGCCUAGGUCGGAUUAGCUAGUUGGUGGGGUAAAGGCCUACCAAGGCGACGAUCCGUAACUGGUCUGAGAGGAUGAUCAGUCACACUGGAACUGAGACACGGUCCAGACACCUACGGGAGGCAGCAGUGGGGAAUAUUGGACAAUGGGCGAAAGCCUGAUCCAGCCAUGCCGCGUGUGUGAAGAAGGUCUUCGGAUUGUAAAGCACUUUAAGUUGGGAGGAAGGGCAGUAAGUUAAUACCUUGCUGUUUUGACGUUACCAACAGAAUAAGCACCGGCUAACUUCGUG